GCUGGGUGUGGUGGCACACACUUGUAGUCCAAGCUACUCCGGAGGAUGAGGCAGGAGGAUUGCAAGUUUGAGGCCAGCCUUGGCAAUUUAGCAAGAUCCUGUCUCAA
rnacentral:sRNA from 1 species